CUAGAUGAUCUCCAGAGGUCCCUUCCAACCUAAACGAUUCUGUGAUUCUGUGACUUACUUCCUGCCCUCUUUUAAGCACAUUUUUGGAUGGUGGGAGCAAUUUACCUAUCAGUUCUCCCAAGGGGCUGGGCUGGGACUGCUUUCUGCUUGCACCCAGAGUUGGACCACAGUCCACUCGUGCACCGGGGAAGGCAGUGUCUGACAAAUUAUAGCACACUGUGGAACUGAGGAGCAGGUCAUGUUUGUUCCCCUUCCCCCUCUCCCUUACCACACCAGAGAAUGUAUCUGUAUGUGCUACAUUUUCUCUUUUUUCCUGAAAAAGAGCAAAAAUGCAAUGUGCUGUUAAGUGGGACAUGGACCACACCUGUAGAUUGUGAAUUGUCACCUCCAAGCCUGCUCUAGUUCUGUAGCCUGUGCAUGAUUCACUAUGUAAUUAGCAGCAGCUGCAAAUCCAGCAGGACAGCAUGAGGGAACUCUUCAAUUGCAUUUUGCCAGUAUUGCGCUUCCUGCUGUAGGACUGAGGAUAUUAAUUUAUGGUUAGACUUGUCUUGGGGACAGAUGAGUCCACACCUGCUAAGUGUCCUCCUCCUCUGGCCUUCUCCCCUGAUGUGGCUGUUGGCACCAACUCUAUGUAGACAGCGCUCCGGAUAGUGCAAGCUGUGGUUAGACCUGGCUUUGCAGCGCCUGCUACAAAAAGCCUAUGUUAGGCUUUGCCGCGUCCUCUGCACACCACUGUGCAGUUACUAGUAGAAACAGAAGGAAAGAGAGGAGGAAGGGAGGAGGGAAUCAAGGAAGGAAAGAAGGAAGGACGGGAGGAAGGAAAGGGAGAGGUCAGGGGAGAAUUUGUAGUUUACUCAGGGUUUGCACCACCCCACUACCGGGGGAUACCUUUACUGAGAGAGCCCUGGCCUUGUCCUUGUCCUCUUGUGCUCCAGCCAUGAGCAGGGGGUAGAGUGGGAGGCACACAGAGCUGUGCUGUGCUGCCUGCUUGCUCCGCUGAAAAAAUCACGCUGGCAUUGGGUGGGCCUGACACUGAUUUGGAGUGGAUGGCUGACCUGCACUGCCUUCUGCUAACCACCAAAAUAACGUGAUGGACCGAUGUGGAAGAACUGCAGCUCCUGCGCUAGCUCCAACAAGUCCCACCAUCGCUGUGUUUUCCAGGCAUUCUGCAACCGUCCAGGAGUCCUCACCGUCUGAAAUGCCAGGUGAAUACAUGGCUGUCUCCACCACACUUUCCUUGGGAAGACUAUAUGUCCUGUAUGGAAAAUGGUCUGGGCAGCAGCUGCCAAGCUCAGAGGGAGGCAGCAGCAGGCCCCUGCACAAGGCAGGUCUGUGGCUAGGACUACUGGUUCCUGCAAACACAAGACUUCCCACAGCACCUCCUGCAAAAGAGCCUUCCUGCAAGCUGCGAGUAGAUUGAAAGCUGGGCUUCCCACCCCUCAGUACACCAGCCUGGCUCUCCCGGGACUCAGCUUCUCCUCAUGUUCCCCAUAGCAUGAGCUUUUGUGCCCUCUCUCUUCCCUUGCACCAUCCUCCAUCAGAGCAGCCAUAACCAUUCUGCUGAAGAUGAAGGGGAUGACCAGAAACCUCAGACAAGCCUUGGAAGAUGUCUCUGCACCCACAGACAGCCUGACACAGCUGCACAUUCCCAGAGCUCAAGACCGCUUGCUGGAGAUACUGACUGAGACAGGCCCUCCCUGCAGCCAUAGCCAGCUUUGUCCCCAUUGGUGUAGGUACAGCUGAACUCUGCUCUCAUUCAUACAUGCCGUGCAUGGCAAAAUAGAUAGCAUUUGUUAUUAGCCCACUUUGAAGCACGGGAUACGAACCACUGGAGACUUUGUGCAAACUUCUAUUUCUGUUCCCAGAUGUUGCAUCGUAGGGUACCAGCCGCAUAUGAAGAACCAAGAAAAGACCUACAGGGACUCCUCUGAAAGGUUAGUUUUGUAUAUAUUUAUAUGCUGACAGGACGCCAAAGCCUGGUUAAAGGAAGCAUUAGGUAUGCAGUCUUGCGCUGAGGUCCAUUUUCAGUUUUUUUAUCACAGAGUGCCUUUAAAUAGUGGUGCAUGUUCCCAGAAGGACAGAGAAUUAGUCAGGAAAGGAGGGAGGCUAGUAACAGAAGAAUGAAUGUCCAUUUGAUUAGGAGUGGAGGACUGUCAAUCACAAGGACUGAAGUUAAGUUACAGAGGGAGAAGAAAACAGGUUAGACCAAUACAUUUAGAGCUAUAAUACUGGCAGAACAUUACUGCUGUUUUUUGGACAAGUAACAGAAUUUAUUGCCUGGCUUUAUCCUUCAUAGACUUUGUAUGUGCAUUGUCAUCAGCUGCAUAUUGAAGUAAUUUAUCCUAUCCCAGGCUGCGGUUUCCUGGAGAAAUAAAAUUCGACAUUUGUAAAAUCGUUCUGAAUGAUGGAAGACAUCAUUGCUGACUAUGUGGGUCUGAGGCACAGAGAGAAUUUACAAGGUGUCUGCAAAGUGAGAACAUUCAGCAUUGACAAGCUCUGACUUCCAGGGCCUGUGGAGGCUGCGUUUCACUCUUGUGUAAGAAUAUUCAGCAAGUAGUAGAGAAAUUACCCAUUCGUCUACUAAAAUCAAAUGUCAGACCUGCAGAGGCAUUGACUACAGCGUGACGUUUAUCUCCUUGCUUGACUGACCUGAAAAUUUUAGGGAAGCACAUGCAUUUUUUAUUUUUCCUUCAUAUAUUGAGUCAUUUUGGUGAAGAUAGUCACUGAGAAAGAGUUUUGUUAAACUGAUAGAGGCAAUGGCCUGCUCUGGUAGUGGAAAAUCUGCUCCAAGCCUUCUUCUUUAUUAGAAUUAGACACUGAUAAGAGAAAUAAGAUGAAAAUGAAGUGGCAAAGAAGGUAUUUUCAUUGUUUGUCUUACCUGCCAAUCUUUGAAAACUUUGUUAGCUACAGACCAGAAAUACUAUAAAGAGCGGGGCAAAUUCCAAUAUCACAUGAGGAACAUAUAUCCAUGUACCAUGGAGCUGUCUGAGGGCUGAAGCAGAGUUAGAGGUUCUUUAUGUGAGAGGAGUUAAGAUGAUCACCGCCUUCUGCUGUAAGUGAUGGGGACAUCUCUAAACAAAUGAGUGUUCAUUUCAUUGGGCUUAUUUACACCCAAACCCUGGCUCCUGCUGGGGUUAGGGGAAUGGAUAUAUUGAAAUGUAUGUGUGUGUGUGUACAUGUCAGUGUGUGUAGGUUGUGUAACCAUUUCCCAUCCAGGGAGCAUAAGAAAACAACCCAUUUCUGUGGAUGUGGAGGAGCAAAGAGAAGGUGCAGAGAAACCCCAGGCAAUUCCAGAAUGUCCUUAAUAAGGGACACUGAGGAAGAAGCUAAAAGAGGGAUUUGGGGUAAAGCGCUGGCUGACACGAGAAAAGAUCUCAUCCUUAAUUCUUGUUGCAUUCAGGCAAGCAGGGCCUUAUAUUAGUUGUGAAUAAACAGGCUAUGACAAACGACCCCCACUUUGACCAUGGAAAUCACCCAUAUGGCCCCACACUCUGGCCUUUUGGGAUUAAGGGUGUGGAAGUGUUGAACAUAUGCAGCCAUAGGAUAUGUACAUGCUUUUGCGGGGUGGUGAGUGGUGGAAUACAAUGUCUGUUACAACUUUCAGGUGUAUCGGGCACAAAAAACACCAGGCUCUGUUCAGUCAACACCAGGAGAUAAUUAUGCAGCGAGGUGCACAAUUGUUUAGGUGUCCCAUACAGUUAAGGUAAGGGACACAUGCCUGAGCUUUAUCCCACUGUGAAUAGCCCUCUCCUUUUUGUAAAAUCAUUUCCAGAGCAAGAUGCUUCUUAUAGCUUGUGUAAAGGGGGCAGGACUGGGCUCUAAAAAGACUCCCUCUCUGGCUGCAGUGCUUCAGGUAUGGUUUAUAUUAUAAUUUCUCCUUGCCUGAGGGGCCUUUCCCUCCUGGCCAGUGCAGCCCUGCCAAAUUUGUUCAGGAUGGUAGAUUUUCUGGAUGAAUUAGGUCAAACCAAUGCCACAUUUCCUCUUUGCCUGAGGCAGUUAGAAUCACUGUCAACAUGUUGACUAAGUUACUGGUCUGCUUUUCCAAUAAAAGCUCUCCAAGCCACUCAGCUCAUCACUGAUGAAUGAGACGCAUUGGAGGACUGCAACUUAUCAGUUAGCACCUAAAAACAAAAGGUCAUUUCUGAUUUUAUUAGUACUUCUUAUGAGUAGCAUAAUUUGAUAAUGGCUGGGAGGGGAAGAGGUGAAGACUUCCCUCCCCCCUCUCCCCCCAAAUAUUUGUUAAAAGUCUUGAUUUGCACUAGCCUGGAGAAUGGAGUGAGUGACAGUGCAGGGUAUGGUACUGUGAUGACUACAGGUUUGCAUGUAGGAAGCCUGGUCACCUGCCUGGAGAAGAUAUGGCUGUUAGAGACAAAUGGGUGUCCAGAUAGUGAGGAAUGGAUGCUCUCAAGCAUCACCCCUCUCCAAUGGACAAAUCAACAUACACACCUUCAGAGAGGACUGUGACUGACCAAUAACUCCUACAAUGGGAGAAGGCUUAGAGGGUGAGGUGCCCCAUGAAGCUCAAUAGCAUGCAGCUCCUUAAUCCUUGCUGUUGCACAGAGAACUGACUUUAUCUCCAUACAAAGGGAGCUGAGGGUGACCUUUGUGUUAGAUAAGCAGCCAUAGCUGUUAAUUGGACGAGGUGUAAAUGUUUCUUCCUGAGCGGAACAAAAGACUGUGAAUGUCUCCCUGAGAUUAGCCAGACCAGCAUGGGGUAAGUGUAUAGGUGGCUCAGCCCAAAUGAGAGUAUAAACCUCAACAACUAAGAAAAGAAUUUCGAAGAGAGCAACAGGUUUGAGCUGGCUUCAACUCACCUAUUCCUUCCCGGUGACUGGGGACGCCCAGCGUCGUGAAGGUGAGCAUGUUAUAGAGACCAGUAAUGGCAAUCACUUUGGUAUUGGGAAUGAACUGCAUAAGUGAAUACCUGUAUUGUGAUUUCAGUAUAUCACUGAAUCACUCUGCUAAAUCAAAAAUCCCAUGUAACGUCAAAUAUCUUCAAAAAUAAACUUUUAUAUUAAACAUUGAACUCUCCAUAUGUGUGGAGUAUCUAAAAGAGCCUGGUCAGAGAGCGCUGGACUCUGACAGGGACUUUAACCAUGCCAAUAGCUGCUUAAAGGGCAAUGCUGCAGGGCACAAGUCCACUAGGGUUUUAUUUUUCGCUCUGUUCUUACCUCAUUUCUGUUCAUAUGUA